rnacentral:lncRNA from 1 species
UUGGAAUGUCUUUGUUCAUGCCUUUCUUUUAGUCUGUUGAAAUCUUACAUAUAAUCCUUCAAAUCUCAUCAAAUUUUCAAUUUUUCAUAGAGCACUUUAUCAACCCUUCUUUGCCUCUGCGAGGUACUCGGAUUAUACUUCUUUUGUCCUGCCUGAUAUUAUAACCAUUAGUAAUCUUCUCUUAACUGUCCCAGCUUGAUUGUAAACUCUCAGGACAAGAAGGCCAGAUGUUUUAUCCUGCUAUGUUAAGUCAUCUUGACAUGUUGCCAUGAAAUGGAAACAACUGCUCGUUUUAAUAUUGCUCCAUAUCUUUAUUACAAGGUACGUCUCAUGCAUCUUAAUUCCUCGUAUUUUCCCUCACUGUCGUUCUCUGAUCUUCUUCAUCCCAACC